AAGUCGUAACAAGGUUUCCGUAGGUGAACCUGCGGAAGGAUCAUUACUGAAAACAAUGUAAAUUUUUGUGAAUAUGAAUUUGGACUGUGUGAGUGUGUGUGAGUUUGUCUCUCUCUGUCUCAUCUCCCUGAGAUGAGAUGAUGAGAUGAUGAGAUGAGAUGAUGACAUGACACGCCGGCACAGAUCCAAACUCACAUCAACGCGCAACAACCCGUCUGAAAACAACAAAAACACUACACAACUUUUAACAAUGGAUCUCUUGGCUCUC
rnacentral:misc_RNA from 1 species